UACGUAGGCAGCAAGCGUUGUUCGGAAUUACUGGGCGUAAAGCGUGUGUAGGCGGUUGGGGAAGUCUGGUGUGAAAUCUCCCGGCUCAACUGGGAGGGUGCGCCGGGAACUGCCUGGCUGGAGUGCGGAAGAGGAGAGUGGAAUUCCCGGUGUAGCGGUGAAAUGCGUAGAUAUCGGGAGGAAUACCUAUGGCGAAAGCAGCCUUCUGGACCGUCACUGACUCUGAUCUGCGAAAGCCAGGGGAGCAAACAGG
rnacentral:rRNA from 1 species